UGUCUACCUGUCGAGCGACGCAUGCGCAGAACGCCACCGCGGCGCCAUCAGGAGCAGACGCCGACAGUGUUGAACAAGGUGCCUGCGUUAUUAUCAGCAAAAAUUGCCCUUCCCUUCAACACAAUGGCUGCAUUUGACAACAACCCAUUCGCCGACCCUGUGGACGUCAACCCCUUCCAGGAUGCCUCGGUCACAAAAGCCACCCGAGGAGCCCUCGAUGAUAUUCGGGAAUACAACCCAUUUGCCACAACUGAACUGAAAGACCACAGUGACACUACUAUUCCCAUCUCAGCUGUUUCAUCUCAACCCGCCAUAUUACAAACUUCAGUGGAGCAGAGUUCACGAGCAUCUGCUGCGGCCAUUGCAGGUCAAGCUAAUCUGAUAAAGCAGCAAGAGGAGCUGGAGAGAAAAGCAGCAGAGUUGGAGAGGAAGGAGCAAGAACUUCAGAACAGAACCACCCAGAACACCGGCGUCAUCGAGAACAACUGGCCUCCUCUGCCUAAGUUCUUUCCUGUGAAGCCAUGCUUUUACCAGGACUUUGAGACGGACAUCCCAGAGGAAUACCGCCGGAUCUGCAGAAGAAUGUACUACCUAUGGAUGUUCCACAGUGCUACAUUGUUCCUCAACGUGCUGGCCUGCCUGGCCUACUUCACAGUGGACUCUCAGUACGGCAUAGACUUUGGUCUGUCCAUCCUCUGGUUCCUCCUCUUCACCCCCGUCUCCUUCAUCUGUUGGUACAGACCCGUAUACAAGGCAUUCAGGUCAGACAGUUCCUUCAGCUUCUUUUUCUUUUUCUUUGUCUUCUUCUUCCAAGUGGCCGUGUACAUCAUCCAGACUGUGGGGAUCCCCAAGUGGGGCAACAGAUUGCUGUUGUCCUCUUUAAGGGGCUUUAUAAUUUUGGCUGGAUUGCUUCAAUCACCAUGAUCCGCGUAAACUUAGGAGUGGCCGUGGUCAUGAUGGUGGUGGCCGGCUUUUUCACCGUCAACGCUGUUGUGGCCGUCCUCCUUUUGAAGAUGGUCCACUCCAAGUACAGACGUACGGGAGCCAGCUUUACCAAGGCUCAGCAGGAGUUUUCCAUUGGCGUCCUGAGCAACAGAAGCUUCCAGUCUGCUGCUACGACGGCUGCUCAAGGAGCCUUUGGCAGGAACUAAACUGUUGUCUUUUUUCUGGUUAUCUUGCACAAGUCAUUUCCCUACUGCACAAAUUGUAACAACGGGGGGGAAAAAAUAAUAGUAACUAGACCACAAUCUUGCUGCCACAUGGUUGUGUUUUUUGUUAAACAAGGGUAAUAACCAGGGAGCGUGGUUGUAUACUGUCUAUAAUAACGUGCAAGUCAAGCUGUAAUUGGCCUGCACGUGCUUUGAACUGGACUUCAUUGUACACUGAGCACCCGCAUCAGAAAUAGUAUGAAGAAUCAUUUGCAAAACUGAAUUGGAUAAAGAGACUCAGAAAAUUUCAUUACAUCUUAACCAAAAAAAAAAAAAAAAAAAGCAGCAGCACCUUACUGUUUAACAAUGAUGAAGAGCUGUUCGUGUGCUACUGUUGAGAGCUCAGUCAAGUUAGAGCUUGAGAUCUUGUUCAUUGUAAAAUGUUCUUUUCCUCCAUUGUCACUUUUUAGAGGAAAGAACAUAAAACUGCGUAAAUAUUCUUAAUGUUACUGUCAGUUCUGGCCAUUGAUAAUUUAAAGUAAAACAGUAGCAGCUAAAAAUGUUGUAAUCUCUGCAUGUACAGCCCCAAAAAAUACUGUCUGUAGGUGAAUGUUUAUUGUUACCCAAGCCCUCUUUUGUAUGUUUUCUUGUGUAUAGUUUUGAUGAUGAAGGGAAGGGCAUGACGUUUAUUUUCUUACAGGUUCAAAUGAAGGAUGACCCAAAAUGUUCACAAGCUGAAAUGAAGCAGUGCCUUAAGCAGGUGUUUGUAUUUUAUACCUUUUGAUUCAUAAAUAAUUCCUCGCUUGUAUGGAGUUUCAGAAGAAAUUUAUUUAUUCUCUGUUACUAAGAAAAUAUAGACCUUAACCAAGAUUAAUGAGCUAAAGAACACAAUCAUGUCCAUUUUCUAGACACUGCUAAAUGUAUUAAAGAUGGCAGCUACUGGAUGUAAAAUGCAUUAGAUCUUUAUAGUCGAGUCAGCCUCGUAGUUAUUCGUCAAUUUUAACAUUCUAGAUAUUGCAUGUCCACAGCCCUUCUGCUAAAUAGGUAAUUUAUCAACUUUUCCAUUCCUGAUCGAUGUGUCACUGGUCACCUGAUGUAAUUUUCUGUGCUGUUUUUCUUAGUUACAUUUACAAAUGUAGAAUCUUUAGAUUGAGUUGAGACUAAACACUUUAAAUAUACAAAAUCCAGUUUAAGGACUAGAAAUAUGAAGGAUUCCAUAAAUAUUUAACAUAUUCCAUCGAUGAGUAGACAGAUGAGGAUUUUUGGGCUACUGAACGCAUAUCAACCUAUCCUCGGUCUUCGUCUCAUUUAAUGAAUUUUGAAAUAUAAAAGGCCUUUUGUUGCAUGUUUGGUUGCUCAUGUUUUAAGAUUUUUUUUUUUUUUUUAUGUCUUAAGCUGUGUUGUAUACAGGUUUAAACUAUUUUAAUGUAUAUCUACUUUUAGGGAUUCUGAUGGGACGGUUGAUUUAAUAAAUCCCUUUUAAA